rnacentral:rRNA from 1 species
AGCGAACGCUGGCGGCAUGCUUAACACAUGCAAGUCGAACGAGAACGUCGGGCCUAGUGGCGCACGGGGGCGUACCACCUGGGGACUUGCCCUUAGGUUCGGAAUACCUCCCUGAAAGGGGUGUUAAUACAGGUUAAUGUCUUCGGGCCAAAGAUUUCUCGCCUCUGGGUGGGCCCGUGUUAGAUUAGCUAGUUGGUAGGGUAAAAGCCUACCAAGGCGUCGAUGCAUAGCUGGUCUGAGAGGAGGAUCAGCCACACUGGGACUGCGACACGGCCCACACUGCGACGGGACGCAGCAGUGGGGAAUAUAGGACAAUGGGCGAAAGCCUGAUCCAGCCAUGCCGCGGGAGUGAUGAUGGCCUUAGGGUUGUAAAGCUCUUUUACCCGGGAUGAUAAUGACGGUACCGGGAGAAUAAGCUCCGGCUAACUCCGUG